AUUGAACGCUGGCGGCAGGCCUAACACAUGCAAGUCGAGCGAGCGGCGGACGGGUGAGUAAUGUAUGGGGAUCUGCCCGCUAGAGGGUGAUAACUACUGGCAACGGUGGCUAAUACCGCAUACUAUCGGCUGAACCCAUAUGGGAUUAGCUAGUAGGUGGGGUAAAGGCUCACCUAGGCGACGAUCUCUAGCUGUUCUGAGAGAAUGAUGCGCCACCCGGGGACUGAGACACGGCCCAGACUCCUACGGGAGGCAGCAGUGGGGAAUUAUGCACAAUGGGCGCAAGACUGAUGCAGCCAUGCCGCGUGUAUGAAGAAGGCCUUAGGGUUGUAAAGUACUUUCAGCGGGGAGGCGUUACCCGCAGAAGAGGCACCGGCUGACUCCGAGCCAGCAGCCGCGGUAAUAC
rnacentral:rRNA from 1 species